AUGCAGUCGAGCGGUAGCACAGAGAGCUUGCUCUCGGGUGACGAGCGGCGGACGGGUGAGUAAUGUCUGGGAAACUGCCUGAUGGAGGGGGAUAACUACUGGAAACGGUAGCUAAUACCGCAUAACGUCGCAAGACCAAAGUGGGGGACCUUCGGGCCUCAUGCCAUCAGAUGUGCCCAGAUGGGAUUAGCUAGUAGGUGGGGUAACGGCUCACCUAGGCGACGAUCCCUAGCUGGUCUGAGAGGAUGACCAGCCACACUGGAACUGAGACACGGUCCAGACUCCUACGGGAGGCAGCAGUGGGGAAUAUUGCACAAUGGGCGCAAGCCUGAUGCAGCCAUGCCGCGUGUGUGAAGAAGGCCUUCGGGUUGUAAAGCACUUUCAGCGGGGAGGAAGGCGGUGAGGUUAAUAACCUCAUCGAUUGACGUUACCCGCAGAAGAAGCACCGGCUAACUCCGUGCCAGCAGCCGCGGUAAUACGGAGGGUGCAAGCGUUAAUCGGAAUUACUGGGCGUAAAGCGCACGCAGGCGGUCUGUCAAGUCGGAUGUGAAAUCCCCGGGCUCAACCUGGGAACUGCAUUCGAAACUGGCAGGCUAGAGUCUUGUAGAGGGGGGUAGAAUUCCAGGUGUAGCGGUGAAAUGCGUAGAGAUCUGGAGGAAUACCGGUGGCGAAGGCGGCCCCCUGGACAAAGACUGACGCUCAGGUGCGAAAGCGUGGGGAGCAAACAGGAUUAGAUACCCUGGUAGUCCACGCCGUAAACGAUGUCGAUUUGGAGGUUGUGCCCUUGAGGCGUGGCUUCCGGAGCUAACGCGUUAAAUCGACCGCCUGGGGAGUACGGCCGCAAGGUUAAAACUCAAAUGAAUUGACGGGGGCCCGCACAAGCGGUGGAGCAUGUGGUUUAAUUCGAUGCAACGCGAAGAACCUUACCUGGUCUUGACAUCCACAGAACUUUCCAGAGAUGGAUUGGUGCCUUCGGGAACUGUGAGACAGGUGCUGCAUGGCUGUCGUCAGCUCGUGUUGUGAAAUGUUGGGUUAAGUCCCGCAACGAGCGCAACCCUUAUCCUUUGUUGCCAGCGGUCCGGCCGGGAACUCAAAGGAGACUGCCAGUGAUAAACUGGAGGAAGGUGGGGAUGACGUCAAGUCAUCAUGGCCCUUACGACCAGGGCUACACACGUGCUACAAUGGCAUAUACAAAGAGAAGCGACCUCGCGAGAGCAAGCGGACCUCAUAAAGUAUGUCGUAGUCCGGAUUGGAGUCUGCAACUCGACUCCAUGAAGUCGGAAUCGCUAGUAAUCGUAGAUCAGAAUGCUACGGUGAAUACGUUCCCGGGCCUUGUACACACCGCCCGUCACACCAUGGGAGUGGGUUGCAAAAGAAGUA
rnacentral:rRNA from 1 species